rnacentral:lncRNA from 1 species
UUCAACCCGAUUAUAGUUGUGGGGGAUUGGAUCUUAAUCCACCCUACCAAGUCCAGCACCAGAUACCUCUGAACCAACCAACAAUAGACAUAUUAUUAUAUAUUUUUUAUUUUUCUUCUGCAUGUUUCGCAAAUCUUUUUAUUUUGCUGGGUUAAAUGACUGUGUGAGAGUCACCUAGCCCGAAAUUUUCAUACAACCAGAGAACAAAGCAAAAAAAUUUAUGAUCAUUCA